UUUGACUGAGCAAGAGGCCCAUCACGACAUGUCGUUUCAUCCGAAGCCCAGAUUGUUUUCUGGGGUUUUGGGGUCUUGAACCCUCGGCUUCCUCCUCCUCUUUCUCGUUUGCAAAUCUCUCAAAAUUCUCAACGUUUUUCCACCGUUGCCUGUGAUUUCGAUUGCGAAAUAGCGUGUAAACAUUGAGGAAUGGCAACCGAGGAAAAGGGAGAAGAAUUGCAACAAACCACAAGUCCCCAAGAUGCUGCCGGUUUGAGAGGAGCUGUGGAAGCAAAGUACCGGCAAAUCAAAGAGCAUGCAGAGACCUACCCUUAUGUUUGGGCUUCCUACAUUGUUGUAUACGGUGGUUUUGCUCUCUGGGGUACCUACAGAUGGAGAAGGCUUCGCAAGACUGAGGAUCGUGUACGUGCCCUUCAGGAGAGAUUACGCAAACAUUAUGCAGCAGAAGAGGCUUGUGCUAGCUCUUCCACCCCAGCUGUUAAGGUUCCACCAUCUGCUGAUAAAAUCUCCAACUAGUUAGAGCAUUGAUCAAUGCUUUUCAGGUUUCCUGCAACCCGAUAAACAAAAGUUUGCUUCAAGUAUGAACACAGAUUGCUUGGGACUUUCUAUGGACGAGAAUUGAAUCCAAAUGUGUCGUAUACGUAGGUUAGGGUGAAAUGUUAGUAAUUGAUACUUCUGAUCAAAACUUAUGUAAACAGCUUCUUAUGCUAAUUUUGUGACACUUGACAGUCAUUUUAUCCGA